GACGAACGCUGGCGGCGUGCUUAACACAUGCAAGUCGAGCGGUAAGGCCCUUUCGGGGGUACACGAGCGGCGAACGGGUGAGUAACACGUGGGUGACCUGCCCUUAGCUCUGGGAUAAGCCUGGGAAACUGGGUCUAAUACCGGAUAUGACUCCAUGACGCAUGUUGUGGGGUGGAAAGCCUUGUGCGGCUAGGGAUGGGCCCGCGGCCUAUCAGCUUGUUGGUGGGGUGAUGGCCACCAAGGCGACGACGGGUAGCCGGCUUGAGAGGGCGACCGGCCACACUGGGACUGAGACACGGCCCAGACUCCUACGGGAGGCAGCAGUGGGGAAUCUUGCGCAAUGGGCGAAAGCCUGACGCAGCGACGCCGCGUGAGGGAUGACGGCCUCGG
rnacentral:rRNA from 1 species